CGCGGCCAGGGCCAGGCCCCAGGGGCUGAGUAGCCGCUGCAGCAACGUCUCCAGCGGGAAGCGGCCCAUGCUCUCAGACACCUCUUCCGCCGUCCGGUUCGCGCGCGACCCGCGACCGCAAAAAUGGUGUUUUGGGGAAAUAUUAAUUGACCCAGCAAGAAGAUGGCUAUCUAUGAACCAAGAAGAGGAGUCUCACCAGACACUGAAUCUGCCUACACCUUGAUCUUGACGUCUAGAAUAGUGAGAAAUAAAUAUUUGUUGUUUAUAGUACAAAUAAAUAUUU